rnacentral:rRNA from 1 species
UACAGAGGGUGCAAGCGUUGCUCGGAAUUAUUGGGCGUAAAGGGUAGGUAGGUGGUCUCAUUUGUGUGGGGUGAAAGCCUUGGGCUUAACUCAAGAAGUGCCCCGCAAACGGUGAGACUGGAGUACUGGAGAGGCUAGCGGAAUUCCCGGUGUAGCGGUGAAAUGCGUAGAUAUCGAGAGGAACACCUGCGGCGAAGGCGGGUUGCUGGGCCGACACUGACGCUGAUGCGCGAAAGCCAGGGGAGCGAACGGG